AAGGUGGGAACCUGUCAAAGGAGAAGGUGAUUUCAAUCGAGUGAUUUCGGGCAAAGCAAGGGCACUUUGUGGAGAACUUCAGGCUGAGCCUACUCCUUGGCUCACUUUUUCCCAUUCUGCCUGCUUGGCUGUCAUUGCUUUAGCAUUUCCUGUGUGGCAAAUGCCCCAGGGCCCCCAGUGUCCAUCAGAUGUCCUCAGGAGUUCCCUUCAGGAAGUAGCAUUCCUAUGGGAGAGGCGUGAUGCUUUCCCCCCAUGACUCAUCACCUGCCAAGACUCUAUGAGUUCGGACGCUGCAAUUUACCUGCCUGAAAAUAUCACCAUUACUGGAAACUGCUGCUGACUCCACUCAUCAGAUCUAACUCCUUGGAUGAUGAUGAGUAGUGAACAGAAGGGACAACAAUCUUCAGCUGAGCCCAAGUGGUCACUCUUGCUAGUCUUCAAAUCUCAACCAGUUGCUGGUGAAAUGGCCUAAUUUACCUUCCCUAACCCCUUUCUCUGCCCUGUGUAAGGCUAAGGUUCUGGAAUGUUUUACCAUGGAAGCCAUCUACAGCAUCAGAGCCCAGAUGCUCUUGGGAUUGCUCAUGGCUGGAUCUGUCCUCAGGUGGGCAGCAGAGGCCCAUUUACCAUGAAGCUAUUGAAGCUUAAGUUUCAGGGCCCGGGACCUAAUGAGUCCUUUCAAAGUCCCUAAGAAAGCCUUCAGCAAUGUGUUCAUAUGACUGAACUUUUUUUUUUUUUAACAUUUACUAAAGUAAGACAUUUUAACCUCAAUUAACUAAGAUUGGCGUCUCUUUCCAUGUCUACUACUGCUCCAUCACACUUUCCUUUCAGAGGUUGGCUCUAGCAUGACUGCGACUGUCUUUGGAAUCUAGUUAAGGAGAAGUUAAGAUGGGAAUGUGCCAUACUAAAUAAAAUUUGGAAGGAUAUUUUGGAAAAUUUCAGUAAAGCAAAUGGAAACUACAGAUAAUUGAUUUGGCUUUAUAUUGUGUCUGUUUUAAAAUUUACAUAUUAAGUAAGUUUUUAAAAACUCAGAUUAAAAAUUAAUGAAGUAGGAAACAGAA
rnacentral:lncRNA from 1 species